rnacentral:rRNA from 1 species
GACGAGCCUCACGAACGUUAUUCGGAAUUACUGGGCUUAAAGGGUGCGUAGGCGGCGCGGAAAGUUGGGUGUGAAAUCCCUCGGCUCAACCGAGGAACUGCGCCCAAAACUACCGUGCUCGAGGAAGAUAGAGGUGAGCGGAACUCACGGUGGAGCGGUGAAAUGCGUUGAUAUCGUGAGGAACACCCGUGGCGAAAGCGGCUCACUGGGUCUUUUCUGACGCUGAUGCACGAAAGCUAGGGGAGCAAACGGG